rnacentral:rRNA from 1 species
AGCGAACGUUAGCGGCACGCCUAACACAUGCAAGUCGCACGAGAAAGGGAGCAAUCCUGAGUAGAGUGGCGCACGGGUGCGUAACACGUAGAUAACCUGCCCUUUGGAGGGGGAUAACGUUCCGAAAGGAGCGCUAAUACCGCAUACAGCAAGAGCCGGUUUGCCGGUUUUUGGCAAAGGUAGGGACCCGCAAGGGCCUACCGCCAGAGGAGGGGUCUGCGGCCCAUCAGCUAGUUGGUGAGGUAAUGGCUCACCAAGGCAGAGACGGGUAGCUGGUCUGAGAGGAUGAUCAGCCACACUGGUACUGGAACACGGACCAGACUCCUACGGGAGGCAGCAGUGGGAAUCUUGGUCAAUGGCGCAAGCCUGAACCAGCGAUGCCGCGUGAGUGAUGAAGGCC